rnacentral:rRNA from 1 species
AUACGGAGGAUGCGAGCGUUAUCCGGAUUUAUUGGGUUUAAAGGGUGCGUAGGCGGACAAAUAAGUCAGUGGUGAAAUCACUCAGCUUAACUGAGUAACUGCCAUUGAUACUGUUAGUCUAGAAUGUAAAUGGAGUAGGCGGAAUGAAUCAUGUAGAGGUGACAUUCAUAGAUAUGAUUCAGAACACCGAUCGCGAAGGCAGCUUGCUAAGAUACAAUUGACGCUGAGGCACGAAAGCGUGGGUAGCAGACAGGAUUAGAUACCCUGGUAGUCCACGCUGUAAACGAUGAUAACUCGUUGUCGGCGAUACACAGUCGGUGACUGAGCGAAAGCGAUAAGUUAUCCACCUGGGGAGUACGAUCGCAAGGUUGAA